AGCAGUCGCCGCGGUAAUACGAAGGGUGCAAGCGUUACUCGGAAUUACUGGGCGUAAAGCGUGCGUAGGUGGUGGUUUAAGUCCGUUGUGAAAGCCCUGGGCUCAACCUGGGAAUUGCAGUGGAUACUGGGUAACUAGAGUGUGGUAGAGGAUAGUGGAAUUUCCGGUGUAGCAGUGAAAUGCGUAGAUAUAGGAAGGAACACCAGUGGCGAAGGCGACCACCUGGACUGAUACUGACACUGAGGUGCGAAAGCGUGGGGAGCAAACAGGAUUAGAUACCCGGGUAGUCCCUGUCUCUUAUAA
rnacentral:rRNA from 1 species